rnacentral:rRNA from 1 species
UGGGGAAUCUUGCUCAAUGGGCGAAAGCCUGAAGCAGCGACGCCGCGUGGAGGAUGAAGGUCUUCGGAUUGUAAACUUCUGUUAAGUGGGAAAAAAUACUUUUUGCUAAUAUCAAAAAGGGAUGAUUGUACCACUAGAGAAAGCACUGGCUAAUCUCGUGCCAGCAGCCGCGGUAAUACGAGAGGUGCAAGCGUUAUUCGGAAUCAUUGGGCGUAAAGGGUGCGUAGACGGCAUUAUAAGUCUGUUGUUAAAAUUCUUGGCCUAACUGAGAGUCUGCAAUGGAUACUGUUUUGCUAGAGGGUGAGAGAGAGAAGUGGAAUUCUCGGAGUAGCGGUCAAAUGCGUAGAUCUCGAGAGGAACACCGAUGGCGAAGGCAGCUUCUUGGCUCACUUCUGACGUU